UUUCCGUAGGUGAACCUGCGGAAGGAUCAUUAUUGUAUAACCGAGGUGCUAGGGCUGUCGCUGACCCGAAAGGUCGUGCACGCCCGAGUGCCCUCACACACAUCCAUCUCACCCCUAUGUGCACCACCGCGUGGGUCCCCCUUUGGCUUGUUCGGAGGGGGGCUUACGUUUUCACACAUACUUUGUAUGCAGUGUAGAAUGUAUUUUUUGUUUUUGCGAUCACGCAAUCAAUACAACUUUCAACAACGGAUCUCUUGGCUCUC
rnacentral:misc_RNA from 1 species